UACGGAGGGGGCUAGCGUUGUUCGGAAUUACUGGGCGUAAAGCGCGCGUAGGCGGACCUGCAAGUCGGGGGUGAAAGCCCGAGGCUCAACCUCGGAACUGCCUUCGAUACUGCGGGUCUCGAGUCCGGAAGAGGUCGGCGGAACUGCGAGUGUAGAGGUGAAAUUCGUAGAUAUUCGCAAGAACACCAGUGGCGAAGGCGGCCGACUGGUCCGGUUCUGACGCUGAGGCGCGAAAGCGUGGGGAGCAAACAGG
rnacentral:rRNA from 1 species